rnacentral:rRNA from 1 species
GAUGAACGCUGGCGGCGUGCCUAAUACAUGCAAGUCGAGCGAACAGACGAGGAGCUUGCUCCUCUGACGUUAGCGGCGGACGGGUGAGUAACACGUGGAUAACCUACCUAUAAGACUGGGAUAACUUCGGGAAACCGGAGCUAAUACCGGAUAAUAUAUUGAACCGCAUGGUUCAAUAGUGAAAGACGGUUUUGCUGCCACUUAUAGAUGGAUCCGCGCCGCAUUAGCUAGUUGGUAAGGUAACGGCUUACCAAGGCAACGAUGCGUAGCCGACCUGAGAGGGUGAUCAGCCACACUGGAACUGAGACACGGUCCAGACUCCUACGGGAGGCAGCAGUAGGGAAUCUUCCGCAAUGGGCGAAAGCCUGACGGAGCAACGCCGCGUGAGUGAUGAAGGUCUUCGGAUCGUAAAACUCUGUUAUUAGGGAAGAACAAAUGUGUAAGUAACUAUGCACGUCUUGACGGUACCUAAUCAGAAAGCCACGGCUAACUACGUG